rnacentral:rRNA from 1 species
AUUGAACGCUGGCGGCAUGCUUUACACAUGCAAGUCGAACGGCAGCGCGGGCUUCGGCCUGGCGGCGAGUGGCGAACGGGUGAGUAAUACAUCGGAACGUGCCCAGUAGUGGGGGAUAGCUCGGCGAAAGCCGGAUUAAUACCGCAUACGACCUGAGGGUGAAAGCGGGGGAUCUUCGGACCUCGCGCUAUUGGAGCGGCCGAUGGCAGAUUAGCUAGUUGGUGGGGUAAAGGCCUACCAAGGCGACGAUCUGUAGCUGGUCUGAGAGGACGACCAGCCACACUGGGACUGAGACACGGCCCAGACUCCUACGGGAGGCAGCAGUGGGGAAUUUUGGACAAUGGGCGAAAGCCUGAUCCAGCAAUGCCGCGUGUGUGAUGAAGGCCUUCGGGUUGUAAAGCACUUUUGGCGGGAACGAAAAGGACUGUUCCAAUACCACGGUUCGAUGACGGUACCCGCAGAAUAAGCACCGGCUAACUACGUG